rnacentral:rRNA from 1 species
GACGAGUCUCACGAACGUUAUUCGGAAUUACUGGGCGUAAAGCGUACGUAGGCGGCUUUGUAAGUCAGAGGUGAAAGCCCACGACUCAAUCGUGGAACUGCCUUUGAGACUGCUUCGCUUGAAGAUGGGAGAGGUUAGUGGAAUUCCGAGUGUAGAGGUGAAAUUCGUAGAUAUUCGGAAGAACACCAGUGGCGAAGGCGGCUAACUGGACCAUUCUUGACGCUGAGGUACGAAAGCGUGGGGAGCAAACAGG